GACGAACGCUGGCGGCGUGCUUAACACAUGCAAGUCGAACGAUGAAGCUGGAGCUUGCUCCGGUGGAUUAGUGGCGAACGGGUAAGUAACACGUGAGAAAUCUGCCCUUGACUCUGGGAUAACUGCGGGAAACUGUAGCUAAUACCGGAUACUUUCCUCGGUGGGCAUCCACUGGGGAAGAAAGAAUUUCGGUCAAGGAUGAUCUCGCGGCCUAUCAGCUAGUUGGUGAGGUAAUGGCUCACCAAGGCGACGACGGGUAGCCGGCCUGAGAGGGUGACCGGGCACACUAGGACUGAGACACGGCCCAGACUCCUACGGGAGGCAGCAGUGGGGAAUAUUGCACAAUGGGCGCAAGCCUGAUGCAGCAACGCCGCGUGAGGGAUGAAGGCCUUCGGGUUGUAAACCCCUUUUAGCAGGGAAGAAGCGAAAGUGACGGUACCUGCAGAAAAAGCACCGGCUAACUACGUGCCAGCCGCCGCAGUAA
rnacentral:rRNA from 1 species